rnacentral:tRNA from 1 species
CCUGGUGGCUGAGACGGUAAAGAAUCUGCCUGCAAUGCAGGAUGCCCGGGUUUGAUCCCUGGGUCAGGA